CGCUCUUCCGGCAUCUCAAUUUUAUGGACAAGGCUUUUGAAAUCCGUGAGUUCUAUAAAAAGUCCCUGACCAACCAAAAAAUUUCCUGACAUCUCCCUGACUUUUCCCUGACAUACAAAAUUCCCUGACAUUUCCCGGUUUUCCAGAAAGGCAGAGCACGUGGAAGAAAUUCAGUAUCAAUCAAACUGUGGCUUUGACAUGGAAAUCAACGAUCUGGGGAAUAAUAUUGCUG